rnacentral:tRNA from 1 species
ACAGUGGUGGUUCAGUGGUAGAAUUCUCACCUUUCAUGUGGGAGACCUGGGUUCAAUUCCUGGCCAAGGCA